CUAACCUAAAGUCUCAUAGAUCUGGAUACUCGUGCAUCCCCAUACUCAUGAGACCCUACAUUUCUACGAGGCACAUGGAUCUCUUGGGUCCUCCCUGAUUAACUAGGCUUCCAACAUUUCACUCAUUCUCCCCUAUUAUUUCAUUCACAAGUGGUCUUUUAUCAAGCACACGAAAAUACUAAUUCAAAAUUGUGCAGAAAUCUGCAACGCCUUUACAGAUCAUAACUUCUAUGUCUAUAUAUGUACAUACCACAGAUACACAUACACACACGUGUGUGUGUGUAUUAAAUAAACUCAAAAUGAAUUUCAAUCAUAACAUAUAGCUAUAACAUAAUAUCUAAAAGAUUCUAAAGAUGCUCACCCGUACUUUAGCCAUUGCAGCUAUUCUCCGAAAAGUAUGAUUGGGCCUUCAAAUUUGAGAAUGCCAAGUCCUAUGUAUAACAUCCCCGACAAGGUUUUAAAUUUGUUAAUAUAACUACGAUGGGAAAUAAGAUAAAACUGCAAUGACAACAAAAAAUGAGAUUCAUACUCUCUUUGUAUAUGCAAUGCACGUUGGACAACAAAUGCAGUAUUUUGUCUGUCUGUUUCAGAAGGCUUCAUCUUAUUAAUCUCAUAUUCAGUACAAUUAGCAACAUAAGCAUCCUCCCUGUAAAUUACAAGAAACUAUAGUAAAUAAGCAUCUGCCCUACACAUGACAAAUCAAAAGUUUAGACUGAACGAAAAAACUUAAUCUCUUGUAAUUAAAACUCCACCCUCCUUCACCAUCCAAGGACAAGACCACAUCAUGAAAUGCAACUAGUGCAGGGCGAUGAGAUAUUGUGAUGCAUGAUGUUCCCAUGGCUCGAACUUUAGCACAGAAACGUUCUUCCAUGUCAGUCGUUACCGCACUGGUACACUCAUCAAGAAUAAAAAAUUUGGGUUUAUGGUAGAAGAGUCUGGCCAUUCCCAAUCUUUGUUGCUCACCAAGAGAUAAUUCAUCACCCCAGUUUAUCUCUUUUUCAGAUGAGUAACGGUCUAGAAGAUACUCAAGGUCAACCUAGUAAUAUACCACCCAACAACAUCAGGCCCAUCAGCCCAUGGAGAUACUUAGAAUUGAGUAAAGUCAUAAGAUGACUAUAUACCUAAGCAAGUUGCAAAAUUAGCAAAAAUAUAUUUAAUAUAUCAUCAAAACUUACAUUUUUCAACAAGUCAACCAUUCCACUUUUUGUGAGAGGCUCAACCUCUUGAUUCCUCGUGGGUAGCAACACCAACCAGUAAUUCACACCAUUUUUGUGUGAGUGAUCAAAGAGCAGCCCAGCCAGAUAUACAUAUAAACAUACACCAACAUUAAGAGGACAAAGACAGAAUGCAACAUAGAAAAAUAUAGAAGGAAAAUGUACCUCCAAAUUGCCACUGUUACACUGAACAAAGUGUGGGCAAUUAGGUUUAAGUAAAAUGAGUUUCUCCAGUCCACACCUAUUGUAUUUUCAUAUACUAAGUUAUUCAACUAGUGAACAAGAACAUAAGAUAAAAGUUAUAUUUUGUACAGUAAACACUCAUGUAGGUUCAGUAAAUAAUCUCAAUUUCAAAGUGAAAUAGUUUAUACCAAAGUGAAAGCUAUUAUUUAAUGUUUCGAUAUUAGAGAUAGAACCAAUGGUAAGUCCAAGUAUCAUCCCAACAGUGCAAUCACUAGAAAAGAUAUAUAAAUCUUCCCAAAAACUAUACUGGCCAACUAAUCAUUAUCAACCAAUUGAUCAAAUACAAAUAGCAAAUCUCUUUCAACAAGAAAUUGACACUGAAAUAAUUGUGAGAUCUUAACGAAUGGGAAGUCCUGCAGCAUAAAAUAUUGCUCCUCAUUAUUGCUUGCAAGUAGAUAUUUCUUACAGAGAAUCCAUUAGUAUCACAUGUGGUAAUAUACUUUUAAAGUUGGUGAAUCUCUUAAUUAUUUAAAAUAAUGUUAAUUGGUCAAUAAAAAGACUUUCGGAGGUUAAACACACCUGAGCAAACACAAGAGCUUAUUUGGUCACAAAAGUAGGUAAUCUGGCUUCAACAGAAAGCCUAAAAAAUAUAGCUCUGACCACUAGUAGAGCUCAAAGUUUUUAAGAAUAGAUGGGAGUAAUUUCACUUGCACAGAAAGUGUUUUACUUGUAAAAACUAUAUAUGAAAAUGAUAUUCCUUCAAACCAACACAAACAUUGAAAUUAUAAAAUUCAAAGAAAUUAACUUAAUCUUCUUAAUUUUAAAUUUGGAGAUCAAAAUCUGGAUAUCAAAUGAUAAGGGAAGAGAGAGAGAGAGAGAGUUGGAACCUGAGAAGCCCAUUCAAUGACGGGAGAAAUCAAACGACAAGGACUGCACCACGUGGCGAAAAAUUCAACCAGAACCAGACGAUCGGACUUCAAUACGACGUCGGAUAACUGAUUCUCAUUUAUCUCAGAAAUGCCACCGCAAAUAAUCGCCGAUUUGCGAGAAGAAUAGCUUCGAAAACCAAAACCUAAGAAGUUUCUUGGACUCUGCGGAGGACAAACAAGAGCUUCUUCUUCAUCUUACUCGCCGGCGUAGCAGAAAAUGAUGAAGUCCAUCUGUUGGUACUGAAGGAAUACGUAAUAGUACCCAACAAAUUACAGGGAGAAACAAACAUUUUUGGCCAAAAUAGACCCAAAGUCAGUAUUUCUAACAAACAAUUGAAGAAACAUACCAAAGAAAUUUACCAAAAUGGGUUUCCCCAGUUACCUUGAUAAAACCGAAUUCUGAAGCAAAUUAAGAGAAACUCUGCUCCUCAGUACUUAAUACGAAGAAAGAGUGGUAUAGAGAAGAGAUGGGUUUUCUCUUUACGGGCUCAAAAUAGAGGAAAGUGUGUACAGUGGGGUUUUUGAAAAAUUUUUGGACUGCAUGCAUCGAAUGUGAGUGAUCGGUGGGUUAGGGUUUGAGGAUUUUGAAAAUGGGAAGGGCACAAAGGAACCCAAUUUUUUUUUCUUUCCCGACUCUCAGGCCUCCGUGUUUUUUAAAGAAG
rnacentral:lncRNA from 1 species